CAUUGUGUCUCUGCACGUGGACGGUACCGGAUCUCGGACACCGGAGAGGAUCGUUACCGGCACGGAGCGGCGUGCACGCGUGAAGCUGACGCCGUCAUCAUGACUCUCUGACAUCAUCUCUGACAUCAUCACCACAGCAUAAUGGCCCAGUCCAUCUGGCUGUCGUCAUGGCGACCGUUGCUGAUGCUGCUGUUGAUGAUUUGUGAUUGGUCAAACUCAGAGUUCCCCAAAGACCAGGAGCCAAUCAGCAAGGUCGCUUUAGAGUCUUAUCCUUGUUUCCAGGGUCUCCUCCAGGAAAACGAUGCUCUUCAUCUCGGCCUGGACUUUCAGAGGAUGUUACGUAUCAAACACAUGUUAUACAUCGCAGCCAGAGAUCACGUGUUUGCUGUGAAUCUAACGACAGCUUCAGAACACUUCAUCCCACAGCAGACGCUGACGUGGAAAACACAAGAUGUGUCAAAGUGUACGGUCAGAGGAAAGAACAGAGACGAAUGCUAUAACUACAUUAAGGUUCUGGUUCCUCGUGACGAUGAGACUCUUUUUGUUUGUGGAACAAACGCCUUCAACCCGACCUGCAGGAACUACAAGGUGUGGUCCCUGCAGCAGGUGGGGGAGGACGUGCUCGGGCAGGCUCGUUGUCCCUUUGAAUCCACUCAGUCCAACGUGGGACUGUUCUCAGGAGGUGAUUUCUACUCAGCAACGACCGCUGACUUCCUGGCGAGCGACGCUGUUGUUUACAGGAGUUUAGGAGACGAUCGGCCCGUUCUACGCAGCGUUAAAUACGACUCCAAGUGGCUCAGAGAGCCACACUUCCUGCAUGCCAUUGACUACGGAAACUACGUUUAUUUCUUCCUGAGAGAAAUCGCAGUGGAAUACACCGCAGUGGGAAAGGUUGUGUUCUCUCGUGUUGCUCGUGUGUGUAAGAACGAUAAUGGAGGAUCUCCUCGAGUUCUGGAAAGGUACUGGACGUCUUUCCUCAAGGCUCGUAUGAACUGUUCUGUUCCUGGUGAGUCUUUUUUCUACUUCGACGUUCUUCAGUCUCUCACCAACGUUCUUCAGAUCGACCAAAAACCUGCUGUGAUUGCUGUGUUUACCACACAGGAGAACAGUAUCCCUGGCUCAGCCGUGUGCUCCUUCUUCAUGGAGGAUCUUGAGGCUGUGUUUAACGGGCGUUUUAAAGAGCAGCGCAGCAGCGACUGGUCGUGGUCGGCCGUCCCUGAGGAGACCCUCCCUCGGCCCAGGCCAGGCGUGUGUGCAGGAGACGGGUCAGCAUCCGAUUACAAGUCGUCGCUCCAGUUCCCAGACGAGACGCUGACGUUCAUAAAGUCGUUUCCUUUGAUGGAUGAGGCGGUCAGGUCGGUCGGGGAGCGACCGUUCUUCACACAGACGUCCAGCAGGUCUAAGCUGACCCAGGUGGUGGUAGACGUGUCAGCCGGACCCUUCAAGGACCAGACGAUUCUGUUCCUGGGCUCAGACGACGGGCGGCUCCUCAAGGUUCUGCUCAGAACGGCGUCCGACCGCAACUUCCGCUCCGAGCUGCUGGAGGACCUGGCUGUGUAUGACCCGUCCAGGUGUGGGGUCCCGGGUCAGGAGGAGCGCAGGGUUCUGGCUCUGGUUCUGGAUAAAGACCAUCAGGCCGUGUUCGUGGCCUUCAGGGGCUGCGUGGUCAGGGUCCCACUGAGCCGCUGCUCACAGCACGGCGACUGCAGGAGGUCCUGUCUGUCCUCCAGGGACCCGUACUGUAUCUGGAUCAGAACAGGACACUGUGCUGACGUGGCUGCAGGCUUCAGAGCUGGUUUUGAACAGGACAUGGAGGGGGAGGAGCCAGUCCUGGACGACAGCUGCCAGGCUGACAUUUAUGCAACGACGAGGAAUCAGGAAUCAGUGUCGGACACGACGUACGGUACAGAAACUCACGCCUCUGUAAACAUCCACUCCACGCUGCUGAUUGGCUGUGUGCUCGCCGCCUUCUUCCUGGGAGCUGUCCUAUCAGGGUUCAUGGUAUCAUGUUUCUGUGGCCAAAGCUCCGCCCACCAAGUGCCCGCACUGAAGGAGGCGGAGCUUUCGCUGCCGACCUUCACUAAAGUUAGCGCGCUAAUGGACGAAGCCACGAAGGAGGACAGAGUGGGUGUGGCCUCACAGGUCUACAGCUCCUUCAUCCCCAGCGGCCGACAGCAGCAGUUGGUGUCGCUGGCCGACGCCGAGCUCCGCCCCCCUCAGGAUGGCGAUGAACUCUCGGCUCUUCCGACUCCCAAUUCUUCGCCUGAACUCUUUGUCCGGAACGACCUUCAGCUUCAUCAGAGCGGUGCCAUCCUCGGCGCACCAAUCCCGUUCUCCCACCGUCUCCUGAGCGGCACAGGCUCCUCCCCUUCGGCGACAGCGGGAGGCUCCGCUCCCUCUCCGUCGGCGCUGGACGAGCUGUUGCGACACAUCAGUGAGGUCAGUGCGUCAGGGAGCGGAGGAAUCAAAGUUCUCACCUCCUCAUCAUCGCUGUUUCCCUCUGGACCAAAAUGCCACCCUUCUCCUCAUCACCACGGCAACCACCGUCCACAGCUUUUCAGCAACUGUCAUCACCAUAGCAACCACCAUAACGGCAUCGCCCCUCAGCAUCGGCUGAUCCCGCAAACAGAGUCGCACUACGACAAGCGGCCGGACCGACUGGUAAAAUUAGGCGUCGGCGUUCCGCGCCAUCACAGCUUUCACCAGCGGGGGGCGCCGUUCACACGCAUGAACACUAAUAACAGCAGCAGCAAAGGGGGCGGAGCCUGUCUGACCCGGCAGCACAGCUACAGUGAGGGAGCACACCCACAGUGCGCUGGCGUUCGCAGGACGCUGUCGCUCAAACCGCAAAUCCCGCCCAAACCGCUGUUCCUGCCCAAUGCCGCAACGCCUUCUGUGGCCGAAACAGGAAACUAUGAGCUCUGAAACACUGCGGCGCCUCCUGUGGCUGAAAUGUGGUACUGUUUAGUGAGUGAAUGAAGGAUCUUUUGGUUAAAAGGUGAAAAAGAGAACGUUGGAGGAUGAAACACAAAAUGCUUCCAGUCACUCUUUUCUGUUUUUUGGACGUUUCAGGGCACAAAGGUUGUCCUGAUGCUAACGCUAACGCUAAAUGCUGCUCUUUGUACCACAUUGGUAUCACCGAGGAUUCAUCAAACACUUUCUGAUCGUUCA
ensembl:lncRNA semaphorin-6D-like